rnacentral:siRNA from 1 species
ACACUCACUUCGCAGGUCAGCACC